CAAUAGCGUAUACUAAAGUUGUUGCAGUUAGAACGCUCGUAGUCGGAUUUCGGGGCGGGCCGACCGGUCUGCCGAUGGGUACGCACUGGUCGGCGCGUCCUUCCUUCCGGAGACCGUGCCUACUCUUAACUGAGCGGGGGCGGGAGACGGAUCGUUUACUUUGAAAAAAUCAGAGUGUUUCAAGCAGGCAGCUCGCUCUUGCAUGGAUUAGCAUGGGAUAAUGAAAUAGGACUUUGGUGCUAUUUUGUUGGUUUCGAACACCGAAGUAAUGAUUAAAAGGGACAGUCAGGGGCACUCGUAUUCCGCCGAGAGAGGUGAAAUUCUCAGACCAGCGGAAGACGAACUACUGCGAAAGCAUUUGCCAGGGAUGUUUNCACUG
rnacentral:rRNA from 1 species